GAUGAACGCUAGCGGCAGGCUUAACACAUGCAAGUCGAGGGGCAGCACGGUGUAGCAAUACAUUGGUGGCGACCGGCGCACGGGUGCGUAACGCGUAUACAAUUUGCCUUAUACUGGGAGAUAGCCCGGAGAAAUUCGGAUUAAUAUCCCACAAUAAUUUUGGUCCGCAUGGAUUGAUUUUUAAAGCUACGGCGGUAUAAGAUGAGUAUGCGUCUGAUUAGCUAGUUGGUAAGGUAACGGCUUACCAAGGCAACGAUCAGUAGGGGGCCUGAGAGGGUUAUCCCCCACACUGGAACUGAGACACGGUCCAGACUCCUACGGGAGGCAGCAGUGAGGAAUAUUGGUCAAUGGAGGCAACUCUGAACCAGCCAUGCCGCGUGUAGGAAGAAGGCCCUAUGGGUUGUAAACUACUUUUAUUGGGGAAGAAACCCUCUUACGUGUAAGAGGCUGACGGUACCCAAGGAAUAAGGACCGGCUAACUCCGUGCCGGCCGCCGCCGUAAA
rnacentral:rRNA from 1 species